UCCUACGGGAGGCAGCAGUGGGGAAUUUUGGACAAUGGGGGCAACCCUGAUCCAGCAAUGCCGCGUGAGUGAAGAAGGCCCUCGGGUUGUAAAGCUCUUUUGUCAGGGAAGAAAAGGUUCUGGCUAAUAUCCAGAGCUGCUGACGGUACCUGAAGAAUAAGCACCGGCUAACUACGUGCCAGCAGCCGCGGUAAUACGUAGGGUGCAAGCGUUAAUCGGAAUUACUGGGCGUAAAGCGUGCGCAGGCGGUUUUAUAAGUCUGAUGUGAAAUCCCCGGGCUCAACCUGGGAACUGCAUUGGAGACUGUAAGGCUAGAGUGUGUCAGAGGGGGGUAGAAUUCCACGUGUAGCAGUGAAAUGCGUAGAUAUGUGGAGGAAUACCGAUGGCGAAGGCAGCCCCCUGGGAUAACACUGACGCUCAUGCACGAAAGCGUGGGGAGCAAACAGGAUUAGAUACCCGUGUAGUC
rnacentral:rRNA from 1 species